ensembl:lncRNA
ACCUCGAUUUUAGCUGCAACAACAGCUGCAACAGCUGGUCGCUUGGUACUGCUACGGGAGGGGCGGUGUUUGCCGCUUGGCAUUUAGAGACAUGAUCAUUUGACGAAGCAACGACACUACUUACUUAGUGGCACAAGCUAAACAGUUGUUGAUGCAUUUUGGUCAUGCGUUUUUUUUUUAAUGUCCUCAUACAGCCAGUCAAGACAAUGGCGCCACUUGCUUCCCGACAGGUGAGGCUGAGCAAUGUGAUUAGUGGCAGCGUGAGUAAUAACUCUCUAGAAAUGGAGCCAGUGUUGCUCAUUAGGCAGAGCGGAGCGGAGAGGCUCCGACUGACUAAACGCAGCGGUGCGUCAUGGAGGUUGCGGGUGUCGCUGGAGCAGAUGAACCACAGCGUGGUGAGGAAAGAAAAGAGGAACUUUGUGCUGAUGAUCUCUCCUUCACUUGGGUGCUGUGGUCUUACAUGAACAACAUUCUUGAGCCCUAUUUUCCCGCGUGGACUGAUACCCCGAAAUGACUAACCCCGCCAAGACUGCCACGUGCACAGUGGCAGAGUGUGCGAAGCUCAUUCUAAAUGGGAUUUGCUUUAAUCGGCUCUCAGAUUAUUUCUGCCAGUGGCAAUGACCUGUUGCCAGUUAUAUUUGACCACUUUUUUAAAAUGCCCUUCUUCCUGGCAUGCGGUCCCGGCUCGAUGGGAGAGAACGGCACCAGGAAAUGACCCGAUUCUUUGCCGAAGUCAAUGUUCUUUGCAGUCACGUCAACGGCGCAAGCUAUUAAUUAAAGCGCGAGCCAUGUGAUUAUCACAAGUAAAAUGUCUCGGCUCGUAAUAAUAACACACCAACUAAAAUGGGCGGGAAUGUAUUUAUAUUUUGUCCAUGUCAAACCUUGAGAAUCCAUCUUCUUCUUCUGAUCUGCUCGAAUUCUAUUGGCUGAAAGUCACUGACCUCCAGAAAUAAGAGUUUUUCUUUAGGAAAUGUGAUUUGGAUUUAGUGAUUUGUUAAAAGAGUAGCCUAUUGUCUAACUUUCCGGAAAUCCGUUUGCGAAGCCUGGUACCACUCUGUGCAUCAACUAGCCUGGAGGCAUGACAAUCACAAGCAGGAAGAAACCAGAAACGGAAGCAGCUGACUCCAAGGCUCUGAAAUACCCGUGUCCACACCUCUAAAGCUCACUAAUACAGACAUUGUAUCUCUUAGUUUGAGCCACAUGGAAUCUGAUGGAUGAAACAACAUGUUUAAGUAGUUUUCUAUACAGUUUUGUCGUGGAACCCUUUCACUCUGAACUCAGUGACUUCCUGGAGGUUGUGAGAAGGAAAAGCAACUGGAAAACUCCAACAGCUGGUAAAAUUUGGUGACACACGAUCUAUGGUAUUCCAAAGGAAGUGACAUCAUCUGGCACCAAAGACCAGCCAAUAGGAGAGACCACGGACAUGUUUGUUGCCAGUAGAUGUCAUGCUUCACACAUCAUGUUUGAGAUGGGACAAAUUUGUAAAUGUCAGAUUUUAGAAAUCACUCUGGACAUGGAUGGAUGGAUGGAUGGAUGGGUAGGUAGGUGGUAGAUAGAUAGAUAGAUAGAUAGAUAGAUAGAUAGAUAGAUAGAUGGGUGGGUGGGUAAAUGUCUGUUUGUGCGUAGAAGCACUCUGACUAAAGAAGAAGAAUAAAAAUAUUGUCUCUCUGAAAUAAUGGAUGUUGAAAGUGUGUUGCAGUGAUCUUUUGGACUUGCAACGUUCUUCACUAAUGCUCGGCGAUGAAUGUUCCCGCCUUGCUCCCUUCGUCCCAGGCGUACCUCUGCCUGGGCCGUCUUCAGGGGCUUUCCUUCGGCGCUGGUCAUGUGUGCAGCUGGGGAUGGAGGCCAUGCAACGCUAAUCCUCCUCCCCAGCUCAGGAAAGUACCCUUCCUCCCUGUGCAGAACGAAAACAACAAAGAGCCGAGUGUGGCUGCAGCCUGCGGGGUUCAGUGCACCCACCAGAACAUGUCCAAGAGUCACAGCUUGCUGCUCCCUCCUACCCAUCUAUCCACGCAUGACUCUCCCUCUCUCUCUCAGGCUUUCUCUCUUUUGACCCUCUUUUCAACCUAUGAAAGACACGUGCGGUUGCAGACUACAACGUAACAUACCUCCAAUUCAAACCAGAAAUAGAGGACUUUGCAAGGUCAAAAGGGAGAAAAAAGAGAACGCCGCAAAAGACAGUGUGGUCAGAGUGUGUUUUAUGGAGGCAAAAUGAUCCCUUUCCAUGUUACAUGAUCCAAUAUGACUGUAUGAAUACAGUGAUAUGGUAUAAAGCCCUAAAUGGAAACAUGAAUGCAAAAAGAAAGCAAAAACGGGAAUUAACUUCACAAGCAAAAAGAACGGAGGUGAAGCACAGAUAUGGCAAAACCUGGUUGGUUGUUUGUUGUAUUGAGGGUUACUUCAUAUGUUCAAUCCAAUCGGGGUGAUUCGAUACCGGACACAAACUUUGUGAAAAGACCCCCCUUGCAAUACUUCUAAUGAGGCUCAAGUAUUUAAAUACCCAUAAUCAUAAUUUUAUGAGCCCCUCUAAUUGGGAUGGCAAUGUCCUUUUGUCCAGCAGAUUGGUUCAAACUAAAUGACCUCGUCAAGACAUUUCAUUCACUCAUUGAUGUCCUCCCUCGGGGUAAAUCUUGUAAUAACGUUGGCGAUCUACUGGCUUUUCUUCUACCACAAUCCUCUCGACAAAAUGGAUGAAUUUAGCCCAUAUUUUGGUCUGUGACAAACUACCUGCGUUAUUCUUUGGUGCUGAUUAGCAAGCGUUAGCAUGCUAACGCGCCGCAGACAGUAGACGUUAUAAACUUCAAACAGAUUAGCAUUCAGCUCACAACAGCCCCGGUGAUUUUAUAGGCUUCGAUAAGAUAUAAUAAAACUCGAUGGAAAGCUUUGUUUCAAACACAUUUGACAACUUUUGAAUAAACUCACAGCAGCGCUACAUUUCCAGUAAAACCUUUGGAGGAACGUUAGGAACGAACACAGAGCACAUUUGGUUAAACCAACAAAAUGCAUUCAUACAACUGGUGUGUUUUCACAUUGACAGGAUUGUGUGUGAGGAAUUGAAUUGUAGAUUUUGAAAGUACAAAAGGUGUUAGCAGACCUGCCGCGCUGUUACUCCACUGUAUUAUUGAGUAAUUUGACCACACAGCAAUGCUUCUUUUGGUCACUCACUUCCUGGUUGGGAUGACGUAACUGCAGUUGGACGGUUUGCCAAAAGAUUUGUAACAACCUAAUUGGGUAUGUUUAAGAGAACGAAAACGUUUAAAAUGGUAUAAUGAAACUUUUAACGGAAAUCCCAUUCUCACAUCUAUUUACUAAAAAUAUGUUUGGAUAGGUUUAACAUCCUUUUAAGUGAUAUUCCUUUUGUGACUAAGGAGUUACACUCCAAACCGACAUACCCGUCAGUUAAAAUAAAUGGUUCUGAAAAUAUAUAUAUAGAUCUAUAUUUUAUUUUCAAUUGAAACAUUUUCCCCCCAAAUAGAUAUGAAACACAAAGUAUAAUAACUAUAUUCUCGAUUGCCAGUGAUUAAAUGACAGACUAACUUGUUUAAACUGAACAUCUUUAAUGCGUUUGGGACACCAAUCCCGUGCGUAAUUACACAUUUGGUGGCGUUUUCACUUUAGCAUUCACUAAGUGAGUGUCAUGUUUAUGAGAGCAUAUUUGUUUGCAGGGAGGUUGGUUGAUUACUGGCAGAGUUUGCAGAGCCCCCCCCCUCUCUCUCUCUCUCUCUCUCCCUUUCUCUCUCCCUCUCUUCAUUCAGCUGCCGCGGUCUUUUUUUUUUGUCCAGCUCUGGAGCCUCCACCGCACAGCUCGAUCGAUUCGCAUUGAUUGUCCCUGACGAGCUGCUCCACUUUCUAGCCAAUGUCAGCCAGUCUGCGAUCGGGAAGGAGAGAAAUGAAGGAAAAUCUCUGCCGCCCUGGCGGUGUCAUUUCCACACACUUGGGUUGGCCGCCUGCCAGGCAGACAGGACGCUCCAAAGAGGCGGACUGGACUUCUGGGGCUGAGCGCGAGGAGACGCGACGGGGGAGGAGGAGGAGGAGGAGGAGGAAGAGGAGGAGGAAGAUUUCUGUCCGUGCGGCGCACGCUGCGCUCUGCUCUCCAAACGCAUCGAUGGGUGGUGUUUUUUUUUUUUUUUUUACCGCCCUGCGUUUCUC